AUUGAACGCUGGCGGCAGGCCUAACACAUGCAAGUCGAGCGGAUGAAGGGAGCUUGCUCCUGGAUUCAGCGGCGGACGGGUGAGUAAUGCCUAGGAAUCUGCCUGGUAGUGGGGGAUAACGUCCGGAAACGGGCGCUAAUACCGCAUACGUCCUGAGGGAGAAAGUGGGGGAUCUUCGGACCUCACGCUAUCAGAUGAGCCUAGGUCGGAUUAGCUAGUUGGUGGGGUAAAGGCCUACCAAGGCGACGAUCCGUAACUGGUCUGAGAGGAUGAUCAGUCUCACUGGAACUGAGACACGGUCCAGACUCCUACGGGAGGCAGCAGUGGGGAAUAUUGGACAAUGGACGAAAGCCUGAUCCAGCCAUGCCGCGUGUGUGAAGAAGGUCUUCGGAUUGUAAAGCACUUUAAGUUGGGAGGAAGGGCAGUAAGUUAAUACCUUGCUGUUUUGACGUUACCAACAGAAUAAGCACCGGCUAACUUCGUG
rnacentral:rRNA from 1 species